rnacentral:rRNA from 1 species
AGCGAACGCUGGCGGCAGGCCUAACACAUGCAAGUCGAACGAACUCUUCGGAGUUAGUGGCGGACGGGUGAGUAACACGUGGGAACGUGCCUUUUGGUUCGGAAUAACUCAGGGAAACUUGUGCUAAUACCGAAUGUGCCCUUCGGGGGAAAGAUUUAUCGCCAUUAGAGCGGCCCGCGUCUGAUUAGCUAGUUGGUGAGGUAACGGCUCACCAAGGCGACGAUCAGUAGCUGGUCUGAGAGGAUGACCAGCCACACUGGGACUGAGACACGGCCCAGACUCCUCCGGAGGCAGCAGUGGGGAAUCUUGCGCAAUGGGCGAAAGCCUGACGCAGCCAUGCCGCGUGAAUGAUGAAGGUCUUAGGAUUGUAAAAUUCUUUCACCGGGGACGAUAAUGACGGUACCCGGAGAAGAAGCCCCGGCUAACUUCGUG